CUGAUCCAGGACCAUCUCAGUGCUGCUGCUGGUUGUUGUGGUUUUACUGGGAUGGUUUUGGAUCAGGU
rnacentral:pre_miRNA from 1 species